ensembl:lncRNA
CUUAUAAAAAGGGGAAAUGUGGACACAGAGAGAGGGAAGAAAAGUGAAGACGCAGGGAGAAGAUGGCUCCGUGACUGAGUGACUCAUCUGCAAACUGAAGAAUGCCUAGGCCUGCCAGAAGCUAGGAGAGAGGCCUGGAAAACGUCCUUCCCCAGGGCCUUCGGAGGGAGCAUGGCCUUUCUAAGCCUUGAUUUUGGACUUCCAGCCUCCAAACUUGUGAGACAAUAAAUUUCCAUUAUUCUAAGCAACCCAGUUUAUGGUACUUUGUUACUGCAGCCCUUAGCCAACUAAUACAGAGCCUUUGAUCAAAUCUGGACCAGGAUUAAGAGGGUUUUAGAUCGCUUUCCUAUUUCCAUUACAGGGAGCAAGUUCCUUUAGGCUUUUACCCUUUUUCUGGCAACUCUAAGCCAGCACUUCAUAUAAAAUAGCCAGAGAGAAAGCCCACUCUAUGUAGAGUUUAUGAAGAUCACUUUCUCACACUAUCCUUUUUCAAAAAUCCAUCACUUUGAAUUAAGAAAAUAAUCCCGUGAAGAAAACCUUGGAAAUAUUUCCUACAAUCAAUAAUUAGCCAAUUGCCUUAGUUUCCUAUAACUGCUAUAAUAAAAGAGGUCUCUCUCCUCCCUUUUUGUUUCUGUUGCUUCAUCACUGUUACUGUCUUUGAACCUCCUACCUCCCUCUUAUAAAGGCCCUUGUGAUUACAUUGAGCUCAGCCCGAUAAUCCAGAAUAACCUCCUCAUCUCAAGAUUGUUAACAUCAUACCUUCAAAGUCCUUUUUGCCAGGUAAGAUAAAGUAUUCACAGACUCUGAAGAUUAGGAUGUAGACAUCUUUAGAGGACCAUUAUUCAGUCUACGACAACACUCCAUAGAUAUCAGAACAUCAUUUGAAGAUGCUUGUUUCUCCUCUGCCCAAGAUGAGAGUCAAAACAAUUUUUGAAAAAAUCAACACAGCUUUGCCAUAAUUCAGAAGGAGUCAUACCAGAUCUUCAAUGAAUCAUAUCUCUGCCAAUAAUAUCAGUAAUAAUAGCUUUCCCCAGAUAUUCAUGCCUGCCAAGCCUAUUCAGAAAAGUACUUAAGCAUUCCUGGAUUCAUGGUGAACAAGCAGAGCCUCAUUCCCUGUAAUCAUACAAAAUAGACUCUUUCAUUUGCUGAACAGCGUGAUGCGGGAUUGCGGCAACCGUACGUACUGCUUCUUGAAGAAAGGUCUCCAGGCCCAGGUGAAGUACACAAACCAACAUUUGUGCUGCUUUACUAGGGUAAAGCUUUGCCAUCCACAGUUCCUGACUAAUGGCCAGCGCUACUUCUCUAGUCAUAGCAAGAGCCAGGGUUGCUCUGCUGGCCCCCUGGAAACAGCCCUGCCUCCAAUGAUCUCUGAUGGGCAAACAUCACAGCUUCACCUUGCUGUCAAGAACAACUGUAGUUUGCUGGGUUGAGUCAGCAGAAUGCAACAAGGGGAAGAUUCCCACCAUUCUGGAGUAAACUCUUUCAAAGCAAUGUUGGGUUUUUCUCAAUGAUUUACGAAUAGCUUUUUUGAAAUUUUCUUAUAGUCCCUUACAUGUACACAGGGCAAGACCAAAGCCAAAUUAAAGAAAUAGAAAUCAUAAACUCUGAAGAAUCUCUAUUCCUCUUUGGAUUACUAAGAAUUUGUUUCUCAGUUGAUGCUAUUUUGCUAGGCAACUUCCAAAAUUUCCUAGAGCAAAAUUUCUCUCACGACAUUUUCAGGGCCCACAUCAAUAGACUUCUGUCAGUUUAUCCCAUUAAUUUUCAGAAACACAAUUGUGGAUAUCUGGACUCUAAUAAGUGGUGCAGAUCCAAGAGAAUCUUUGCCUCCAUAUGAAUGGAAUUUUAUCAGGUUGGUCCCAUCAGAUUUCCAAAUAUGUCCAUAAAUACCUAAAAUCCUAGCAGUGUACAGAUAGAGCUAAAUUCAAAAUGAGAAGGUACCUGUUACAUUAAAAAUUAUGCGGAUGACCCAAUUUAAAUUACUCAUUUAUCAAAAUCAUCCUAUUAAUUUCCAACGUUCUUCUAUUUUUGGACCACAAUGAAAAGUAGUGCUUAAAUUUACUUCAUCUCCAGAAGAGUAAUCUGAGUCUUUGAAUGAUACUGUACAUAUCAUCUACCAGCUGCAUUUGAAAUAAAGUUGUGAAGUAUUAAAACAUGACAUUUAGGGUAGUAAAGGGUUAUGUCUAUCAUCAAUCAAUUAUAAAAAAUAAUAUAUUCCAAAUAUGAGGCUUUGUGGUCAUUUCUUCCUGCAAGUUAAAUAGUAGAUUUAGCUGUCUGAAGUCUAUUUUAGGUUGAAUUAUUUUUUUCAGGGUUUAUGAGAACUAACUAGAGUAAGAAGAGAAGGCAAAGAUACUUUUGAUGAUGGCGAGAAUGGAAAAUAAUGAACUAGAGUAAAGAAUACUUUUUGUUGAUGAUUGGAUAUAUGAGGUCACAUAAAUUUAAAUGCAGAAGCAAGUCCAGAUGUGGGCAGGAGACAGCACAAGGGCCUUAAGUACUUUGUAUAUUAUGACCGUAGAGGAUAGUAAGAAUUCCUGUGCUGUACAGAGCCAUUCUUAGUAAUCACUUCACUUGUAAUAACCACAUACUGCAUAAUGCUUAAUUAAUAACACUGUCUUAUAGCAAGAAUAAUUUUGAUGUGAGUCAAGCUGUUGUUAAUAUUUCUACAAACAAUGUUUUAGAAAGAAAGCUCUAUACUAAGGUCACAAUGAAAGCACUCUUCAGUAACCUUCGAUUCUUUUUUUAACCUACUAUACAAAAUGAUAAGAUUUGAAUUCUUUGUGAGGGCUAACUCAAGCUUCCAGAUCUUGACACUCUGAAUCCAACUUAUCAUUAAAAUUUCAUUCCUUUUUCCUUUAGUCCCAAUCAGACUGUUCUCUUUUUUGUCCUUAGAAAAAUGUGUUGCUCACUUCCAUGAAUGUGUCUACAACAUUUUUUUUUAUUCCUCGAAUGGUCACUCCUGUCUGUCCAGUUCCAAAAAUAUUCCAGCACAAUUCGUACCAGCUUCUCAAAGAAUAUCAAUAAAGACAUCCAAAAUGACAUUUUUCUCCUUGGAAAUUUUCCCACCCAUUUACUCACUGUAUCACUGCUUUAGCAGUGAAUAAUAUUAUUUUUGUGACCUUUUUUGCAUUAUUAUUUACCGUUUCAGAACUUUUUAAAACUUUCUCUUUGUAUUAUCCUAUAAUUAGAUUGUAAAACUCAGGAAAGCAGGACCUCAGUAUGCGUUUUAAUGUUAUACAACACCUUUGAACAUAAAAGCCCUAAGUAGUUAUUUAUUUUUAAAUGAAUAUGAUCCCUUCCAAUUAACGAAAAUAUGCAUACCAUUCUCCAGAGAUAAUUGUAUAACUUGGAUAAUAAUUGGUACUGUGAGAAAGAGAGAAAUGCAGGAUUGAGGUAUGGUAAAUGUUCCCCACCGAGUUUCUGUGGAGAAGAUAAACUUCAAGUAAACAUAGGGUUUAUAACCAUAAAAAAGCAAUCAAGGACUCUGAAAGUAUUGAGUUAAAGCCAGGAUAACUUUUUUUAAAUAUAGCAUGAAUUCAUCAAUUAUUUAGGCCAAUGAUGUGAAAUGGAAUCAUGAGUAUGUGAGGCCAUGCCAUAUAUAUCUUCAUGUUUCUUUCUGCCUUGAAUGCAAGGCCAGGGGGAACAUUUGCAACUAAGGAACAUCAAAUUAUUUUCAUAUUUGAAUGCCUACUGUGUUCUUAGCACCGAGUGAACACACUAGAGGACACAAAGGAAAAUGUAAUCCCGUAUUUGCUUCCUCUAGGGAGCCUGUGAUCAAAACUACCACAUUGAACUGAUUGGCUGAAUAAAUAGAAUUUGGUAACUUCAAAUCAGAUUUCAACUGAACUGAAUAAUAGCUGCGAAGAUGCUUACUAGACCACGUCCUCAGCCGGUCAUUUCCUCCCUGCCGCCCUACUUCUAUAUAUAGCACUUUCACUUCCAAUGUUCAAAAGGGCCAAGCCUAGGAAACCACUUGCUUCCGAGUCCCACGUCAUAGCUGAUCGGACUAGCAGUGCCUAUCUGACGCAAGGGGAGACAAACAGAUUCUCUCUCUCUCUGGAAUUUGAAAUUGAUACAGUGAAAGAAUAUUUUUUGUUGAUGAUUGGAUAUAUGAGGUCACAUGAAUUUAAAUGCAGAAGCAAGCAUUUCAAGGUCGCUGUGGUGAGCUGUGCGCAAGCAGGUAUUCACUCCAAAGAAAUGAAGACACAUGUCCGCAAAGAAGACAUGUGUAUGAAUGUCCACAGUAGAUUAAUUCAUAAUAGCCCGAAACUGAAAACAAAUAAAAUACACACCAGCAGGAGAAUGAGAAAACAAAUUGUACCAUUUCAUACAAAGGAAUACCUCUCAGCAAUAAAAUAGAUGUGAAUUACUGCCCCUUGUAAUAACAUGGAUGAAUUUCAAAAAUAUUAGAUUGAGCACAAGAAGUCAGACACAAAAGGAUGUAUACCAUAUGGUUCCAUUCAUAUAAAGUUUAAAUCACC